rnacentral:rRNA from 1 species
UGGGGAAUAUUGCACAAUGGGGGAAACCCUGAUGCAGCGACGCCGCGUGAACGAAGAAGGUAUUCGUAUCGUAAAGUUCUGUCCUAUGGGAAGAUAAUGACAGUACCAUAGAAGAAAGCUCCGGCUAAAUACGUACCAGCAGCCGCGGUAAUACGUAUGGAGCGAGCGUUGUCCGGAAUUAUUGGGCGUAAAGGGUACGCAGGCGGUUUAAUAAGUCGAAUGUUAAAGAUCGGGGCUCAACCCCGUAAAGCAUUGGAAACUGAUAAACUUGAGUAGUGGAGAGGAAAGUGGAAUUCCUAGUGUAGUGGUGAAAUACGUAGAUAUUAGGAGGAAUACCAGUAGCGAAGGCGACUUUCUGGACACAAACUGACGCUGAGGUACGAAAGCGUGGGGAGCAAACAGG